UACGGAGGGUGCAAGCGUUGUCCGGAAUCACUGGGCGUAAAGGGCGCGUAGGCGGCCUGGUAAGUAGGGGGUGAAAUCCUGCGGCUUAACCGCAGGGCUGCCUUCUAAACUGUCAGGCUUGAGCACGGUAGAGGCAGAUGGAAUUCCCGGUGUAGCGGUGAAAUGCGUAGAGAUCGGGAAGAACAUCGGUGGCGAAGGCGCUCUACUGGACCACAACUGACACUCAGGGACGAAAGCUAGGGGAGCGAAUGGG
rnacentral:rRNA from 1 species